rnacentral:rRNA from 1 species
UACAGAGGGUGCGAGCGUUGUCCGGAAUCACUAGGCGUAAAGGGCGCGUAGGUGGUGGCUUAAGCGUGCGGUGAAAGCUCGGGGCUCAACUCCGAGUCGGCCGUGCGAACUGGGCUCACUGGAGCAUAGUAGAGGCAGGUGGAAUUCCGGGUGUAGCGGUGGAAUGCGUAGAGAUCCGGAAGAACACCGGUGGCGAAGGCGGCCUGCUGGGCUAUGGCUGACACUGAGGCGCGACAGCGUGGGGAGCAAACAGG